GGCCAGUGUCCAAAGAUAAACGAGCUCAGUUUAAAUACUUCAUGCUGAUAAAGAGAAGAAAUGAAACACUGAGCAGCUCUGGAAAGGCAUUCCAUUACAUUCAGAAAGAAAAUGCUUCAUUAAAGAACAAAACAAGAGAUUAUUGGGUGAAUUUAAUGAAAGCUGCUGAUUGGACGUCUUCCAUCUACCCUAAGAAAGAGGAAGACCGCAUUACAUCAGGAUUAAAAACUCAGCAAGCAACUGGCUGUUAGGGAUUGAUUCUGAUCCUACUCCCUGAUCCCUGCUGUAAACUCCCUUGAUCAUCUUGGAAUCACUCAUGCUUCACUGGUAGCUCCAGCAUUUUCAGAAACAAAAGUCUUGCCACACUGCAUGAUGACAGGAGAAUCUGUGAAAGAAUAUUUUGAGCUAGUAUAAACAAAAGCACUGAAGCGGAUUGAAUACCCAGGAGAGGGCAACCAUCAAUGUUACCGUUUCCUGAUGCUAAGAAAACCAUUCCACAGAAUGGCAGUGCUGUCUUCCAGCCAGCCACAACUGCACAGACCUGAUCAAUCAUUGUUUUUAAUCUCAUUACAGCCUGGUUAAUAUCUCAGUGUUUCCAUUUUCCUGAAACAAGUCUCCUGACCCUUUGGUAGCUGCGUAACCAAAAAAGUUUCAAAGCAAAUUACCAGUGUUAAAUGGCAUAAUUUGUCUUCUCUACAUUCAUUAUAGACAUGCCUUGAGACGGUAGCUCAAAUGAAAGAUGAUGUUUAAUCUGUCGCUAAAUUACAUACAUGUCUACUUCUAGCACUUAUUAAGUCUUAAGCAAAUCAAUACCUGAUUGCAUUUUAAUCAAGAAUAGAUAAACCAGAAUAUGUUAAGGUCUUAAAACAGCACUUGCAAAGCAUUGCCAGAGUUUAGGCUAAUGAUAUAAAUGCACUGCUAAAGAAAAUAUUUUAGAAUGUACACAUCCAGUUCAUGGUCCUGUAUAGCUCACUGGAAGUAGGAAUUUUCAGUCUCUUGCUUUGGAAAACCCAAGUUCUCAGUAUAA